GCUAAUUCCCCCUGCCCCCUCCUAUUGAAAUGUUCAGCUAAUGGUACAGGAUGUGGUGUUUGUCAUUCAAGGGAUCUGUUGUUCAGGUUUAGUGAAGAUGUGGUUACAUGUCCUAACUGCUCCUCAUACUUUCACUGGUUAUAUCAAGUUCCUGUUAAAGGUUCAAGUACAUUAGGUAUGUGUCAAUAU